GGUAUGAGCUUUCGUGUGCAUGCACACUUCUUCAGAUAUUGGUAUGUGAAGAAGUGUGCAUGCACACGAAAGCUCAUACC